rnacentral:rRNA from 1 species
UACGGGGGGGGGCAAGCGUUGUUCGGAAUUACUGGGCGUAAAGGGCUCGUAGGCGGCCAACUAAGUCGGAUGUGAAAUCCCCAGGCUUAACCCGGGAACUGCGUCCGAUACUGGGAGGCUUGAAUCCGGGAGAGGGAUGUGGAAUUCCAGGUGUAGCGGUGAAAUGCGUAGAUAUCUGGAGGAACACCGGUGGCGAAGGCGGCUUCCUGGACCGACACUGACGCUGAGGCGCGAAAGCUAGGGGAGCAAACGGG